rnacentral:rRNA from 1 species
UAGUCCACGCCGUAAACGAUGAUCACUAGAUGUGGGUUCUGUUUAACAGAAUCUGUGUCGUAGCUAACGCGUUAAGUGAUCCGCCUGGGGAGUACGGUCGCAAGAUUAAAACUCAAAGGAAUUGGCGGGGGUCCGCACAAGCGGUGGAACAUGUGGUUUAAUUCGACACUACGCGAGGAACCUUACCUAGAUUUGACAUGUGCUUGCCCGCUGUAGAGAUACAGUUUUUCAAGUUUACUUGAACAGGUACACAGGUGCUGCAUGGCUGUCGUCAGCUCGUGUCGUGAGAUGUUGGGUUAAGUCCUUUAACGAGCGCAACCCUUGCCGUCAGUUGCAACUUCUUUUAUUAGGAGGCACUCUGGCGGGACUGCCUAGGAAACUAGGAGGAAGGUGGGGAUGACGUCAAGUCCUCAUGGCCUUUAUGUCUAGGGCUACACACGUGUUACAAUGGCUAGUACAGAGGGCAGCAAACCCGCGAGGGGGAGCGAAAUCUCACAAAGCUAGUCU